GUAAAUAUAGUUUACUAAAAACCUUAGAUUGUGAAUCUAAAAACAAGGAUUAAUCCCCUUAAUUUACC
rnacentral:tRNA from 1 species